GCACACAACAGCAGCAUCCAGGCCUCCAGAGUACUCACCCUAUCGCCUUCUGUAGGGACGGGAGCCGCAGCUMUUUACUGAGGUGAGACUGAACAUGGACAAGGUGCAGGAGAAACAGAAGGAAAACCACCAGAGGAGAAUCAAGAAGAGGACCAAGUGCUUCGACAUCCGGUCGAAUUACUUGGCUUGGAAGAAGGAUGAAAGGAAGGCGAGACCUUGCUGCUCUUURGCUCCUAGCUGGGGUCACGAUCCGUUCAGGGACCAUCCACACCUCCCUCAUCAACCCCACUGACAUAAAAGAAAACAGACAGG